rnacentral:rRNA from 1 species
UACAGAGGGUGCAAGCGUUAAUCGGAAUUACUGGGCGUAAAGCGUGCGUAGACGGUCAUGUAAGUCGGGUGUGAAAGCCCCGUGCUCAACCUGGGAAUUGCAUUCGAGACUGCAUGGCUAGGAUGCGGAAGAGGGAAGCGGAAUUUCCGGUGUAGCGGUGAAAUGCGUAGAUAUCGGAAGGAACACCAGUGGCGAAAGCGGCUUCCUGGUCCAGCACCGACGUUCAGGCACGAAAGCGUGGGGAGCAAACAGGG